rnacentral:rRNA from 1 species
AACGAACGCUGGCGGCAUGCCUAACACAUGCAAGUCGAACGAGACCUUCGGGUCUAGUGGCGCACGGGUGCGUAACGCGUGGGAAUCUGCCCUUGGGUUCGGGAUAACAGUUGGAAACGACUGCUAAUACCGGAUGACGUCUUCGGACCAAAGAUUUAUCGCCCAGGGAUGAGCCCGCGUCGGAUUAGCUAGUUGGUAGGGUAAAAGCCUACCAAGGCGACGAUCCGUAGCUGGUCUGAGAGGAUGAUCAGGCACACUGGGACUGAGACACGGCCCAGACUCCUACGGGAGGAAGCAGUGGGGAAUAUUGGACAAUGGGCGAAAGCCUGAUCCAGCAAUGCCGCGUGAGUGAUGAAGGCCUUAGGGUUGUAAAGCUCUUUUACCCGGGAUGAUAAUGACAGUACCGGGAGAAUAAGCCCCGGCUAACUCCGUGCAGCAGCCGCCGUAA